AUAUACCACUUGGAAUGUACUAAAUAAACAAAAUGGCAGGAAAUUAUCUUGUAAUAUGACACUAAUAACACGCAUGCGUUGUAUUGUUCUUAUUAUUAUUGUAUUUAUAAUAAUAUAAACCUUGAAGGAAGAGAAAAUAUGGGUGUUGCCCUUGGUCCUCCUUAAGUAGCUACCGAUGGUGAAAGGGUUUCGUCACCCCACGAAGGACACUACGUAACUUAUUGCCUGACGUAAUAAUACUGUAAACUAACAAUUGUUAUUCACAGACAAGUAUCCAACAGAGGAAAACAGUAAAACAACCGUAAAAAUUAACACAGAAAUGCUUCUAUCGAACUCUGAAGUGUAAAAUCGCUACAAAAGAAAGAUGGCUCUUGCACCGCUAUCAAUUUCAUGUUGAAGAGUGUUGCAAGAUGAUCUUCAUUAACAGAUAUCGAAUGAUAUGGAUGGAUAGAUUCUCGUCUACGGUUAUCUUAAACAAGAACAUGAAUUGGAGAAUUGAAAUUGCGGUCACAGCAUUGUCAUGUAGUUUUUAAUGAGUGAAAUUUAUUAACACUUACAAUAACCUAUUUCGAAGAUGAACUGCGUGUAUCCUAUUGCUCUUGACUUUGUUACAGUCUUGAUUGAUGAAUUAGUCAACAUGAAAGAAAUACUCAAACGAGCAAGGCUUGAAAAAAGACGAGAUGAAGUCCAGCCAGUCACAAAUGUAGGGUUUACCUCUCUAGGAAGCCAUGAAAAUAUAUUAAUAAAAUUAAACCUCGGUGGAUUUGGAUUUGACCGCCAGCAAAACAAUUUUGCUAACGAUAGAAGAGUCUAGAUAGAAGGGAUGCCAGCAGGAUCAUUUAACUUUCAUGACAGAAGGGUCCAGAUAGAAGGAAUGACAAUUUGACUCUUGUCCAGAUAGGAGUGCCAGUACUACCAUUUGAUUCAUGACAGAAGGAUCCAGAUAGAACGAGUGCCAAUAGGACCAUUUGACUCUUAUGACAGAAGGGUCCAGAUAGAAGGAAUGACAAUUUGACUCUUAUGGCAGAAGGGUCCAGAUAGAAGGAAUGACAAUUUGACUCUUAUGGCAGAAGGGUCCAGAUAGAAGGAGUGCCAAUUUGACUCUUGUCCAGAUAGGAGUGCCACUAGUACCAUUUGACUCUUAUGACAGAAGAGUCCAUAUUGAACAAGAGCCAAUAGUAUCAUUUCACUCAUGACAGAAGGAUCCAGAUAGAAGGAGUGACAGAGGACCAUUUAACUUUUGAUAAAAAAGUCUACAAAGAAAGGAUGCCAUCAAGCCCAUUUGGCUUAUGAUAGAAUGAAAAAUCCAGAUAGAAAGACCCAUCUCAUUUAGAAAGAAUAUCCAAGAUUUGGGCAAUAACAUUUCAUAUUUUAGAAAUUUCCAGAAUAAAAAAAUAAAUCAUGCAUUACAUCAAAUAAUUAUAAACACUAAAUCAAAUUUAUCAUA